rnacentral:rRNA from 1 species
AACGAACGCUGGCGGCGUGCCUAACACAUGCAAGUCGAGCGCGAAAAGGGCAACCUGAGUAGAGCGGCGCACGGGUGCGUAACACGUGGGUAAUCUGCCUUAGAGUCGAGGAUAACCUUCCGAAAGGUUGGCUAAUACUCGGUAAGCUUACGGUGUCUUCGGACGCUGUGGGAAAAGUAGGCCUCUGUUUACAAGCUUACGCUCUGAGAUGAGCCCGCGGCCCAUCAGCUAGUUGGCGGUGUAACGGACCACCAAGGCAACGACGGGUAGCUGGGCUGAGAGGACGAUCAGCCACACUGGAACUGAGACACGGUCCAGACUCCUACGGGAGGCAGCAGUGGGGAAUUUUCCACAAUGGGCGAAAGCCUGAUGGAGCAACGCCGCGUGUGUGAUGAAGGUUUUCGGAUCGUAAAGCACUUUCGACUGGGACGAAAAACCUUUGGCUAACAUCCAGGGGCCUGACGGUACCAGGAGAAGAAGCACCGGCUAACUCUGUGCCAGCCGCCGCCGUAAGAC